rnacentral:rRNA from 1 species
AACGAACGCUGGCGGCAUGCCUAACACAUGCAAGUCGAACGAGACCUUCGGGUCUAGUGGCGCACGGGUGCGUAACGCGUGGGAAUCUGCCCUUGGGUUCGGGAUAACAGUUGUUAACGACUGCUAAUACCGGAUGAUGACUUCGGUCCAAAGAUUUAUCGCCCAGGGAUGAGCCCGCGUCGGUUUAGCUGGUUGGUGAGGUAAGAGCUCAUCAAGGCGACGAUCCGUAGCUGGUCUGAGAGGAUGAUCAGCCACACUGGGACUGAGACACGGCCCAGACUCCUACGGGAGGUAGCAGUGAGGAAUAUUGGACAAUGGGCGAAGGCCUGAUCCAGCAAUGCCGGGUGAGUGAUGAAGGCGUUAGGGAAGUAAAGCUCUUUUACCCGGGAUGAUAAUGACGGUACCGGGAGAAUAAGCCCCGGCUAACUCCGUG